rnacentral:lncRNA from 12 species
ACUCUGCACUAGCCACAGAUGGCACAAAUCCCAUUUGAAGUUCAGUUAGUGUUUGCAAUAACUUUAUUCUGCACCGUCAGUGACAAAUCCAUCUGGUGUAAUUGAUGUUGUGUGAGCCCUGUCUAACCCCAUUCUAGUUGGAGCAC